AUGCACGCUGGCGGCGUGCCUAACACAUGCAAGUCGAACGGAGAUUACGGACGGAAGUUUUCGGAUGGAAGACUGUAAUUCUUAGUGGCGGACGGGUGAGUAACGCGUGGGCAACCUGCCCUAUACAGGGGGAUAGCAGCUGGAAACGGCUGGUAAGACCGCAUAAGUCGGUUAAAUCGCAUGAUUUGAUCGGGAAAUGAGCAAUCAGGUAUAGGAUGGGCCCGCGUCCGAUUAGCCAGUUGGCAGGGUAAAAGCCUACCAAAGCGACGAUCGGUAGCCGGACUGAGAGGUCGGACGGCCACAUUGGGACUGAGACACGGCCCAAACUCCUACGGGAGGCAGCAGUGGGGGAUAUUGCACAAUGGAGGAAACUCUGAUGCAGCGACGCCGCGUGAGUGAAGAAGUAUUUCGGUAUGUAAAGCUCUAUCAGCAGGGAAGAUGAUGACGGUACCUGACGAAGAAGCCCCGGCUAACUACGUG
rnacentral:rRNA from 1 species